GAUGAAGAACGUAGCAAAAUGCGAUAAGUAAUGUGAAUUGCAGAAUUCAGUGAAUCAUCGAAUCUUUGAACGCACAUUGCGCCCGCUGGUAUUCCGGCGGGCAUGCCUGUUCGAGCGUCAUUUCAACCCUCAAACCCCCGGGUUUGGUGUUGGGGAUCGGCUCUGCCUCACGGCGGUGCCGCCCCCGAAAUACAUUGGCGGUCUCGCUGCAGCCUCCAUUGCGUAGUAGCUAACACCUCGCAACUGGAACGCGGCGCGGCCAUGCCGUAAAACCCCAACUUCUGAAUGUUGACCUCGGAUCAGGUAGGAAUACCCGCUGAACUUAAGCAUAUCAAUAGCGGAGGA
rnacentral:misc_RNA from 1 species